CAAAAUAUACGACAUUUAAUAUAGCUAUGGCCGAAAGAGUGCCUUUCGGCAUAGUAGUUCUUUUUAAAUUCCAAUUCCCUAAUUUGCUCCUUGAUUUUUGGCCAAAUUCGAAGUUUGAAUUUCAUUCAAACUCCCAACCGAUCAGCAGCCUUAUCCACCUGCUUGCACCGCUUCAGCAUGCUGCGAAGAGUCCUGGUCAGACCUCAAUUCCUUCCCCACGCAUGCAGCAAAAAUCCGAACCUUGCGUGCGCGAACUGCAGCUUGAACCCCAGACCUCCACCUGCUUGCACCGCUUCAGCAUGCUGCGAAGAGUCCUGGUCAGACCUCAAUUCCUUCCCCAUGCAUGCAGCUAAAAUCCGAACCUUGCGUGCGCGAACUGCAGCUUGAACCCCAGACCUCCGUCUGCCUUGCGCCCACGCUCGCGCUAUCGGCCACUGCACCAUGCUUCCUUCCUUAC
rnacentral:lncRNA from 1 species